AGAAAACUGAGUCCCAAGGGGUUAAGUGAUUUGCUCAAGGCAAUGGCAGAGGAGGAACCAGGACCCAAUUUUCUCAACUGUGAGCCAAGGUUUUUCCUUUUACCAGUGUGGACUAGAGGAAAAGUGAUCGACAAAGAGGCAAGGAGAGAAUGACAAACAGGAGAACUUACAUUCUAGCCAGGAAAAAUGGAUAGAAAUAAGAAAAUGAAUACAUGAAUGAUCUCAGAGAAGGGUGAGCUCUUUGGGUGUAAAAUGCAAAGAUGGGAUGAAGAGACAUUGCAGCCCUCUGAUUACUCACUUGGGGGAAGUAGAUCAAGGCUAUGAUGUUGCCUGACAGUGAUGGUUGAAGGCAGCUGAGUCCUGUCAUGGAAAAUGUAAAGGCCCUCCCCUUUUUCAUUUCCCUCCAGGAACUUCUGCCUGUAGUAAUAAAGAAUCCUGUGUUCAUGCCUGUGUUGCUUCAUUUUAGGAGCUUGACUUUUAUAUGAAUCUUUGUCCAUGUGCAGGGCUGUCGACUAUUGUUUCUGCCUCAGCUUACCCAUGAAGAAAGGGAAGUGUGUGACAUUAAAUGAUUUGCCCAGGUCACCCAGAAAGUCAGUGAUGGAGUCUACAAAAGAAAGGAUAAGUUGUUUUUCUUCGUUCUCUACCUCAGCCACCAGAGGAAAUCGCAGCAAAGUGUCCAGGAUGGUUCAAUAAUCAGCCCUCCUUCCUUCCCAUGACCAGAAGCCACAGUUAUUUCCAUGAGGAUGCUGGUGUUUGGCUUCCUUCCUGCCUCAUUUGACUGAGUUGUCUUUGCUGUAGAGCUUGCUUUUCUGUAAGGCCAACGCUGUAUCAGAACCCAUGGAUUAUAAGCAAUAUUCACUGUGUGCCGAACCCUUAACACUAGGCACUGGGAGACACCAUGAGGGGACCUAACCCAUCUACAAUAUAAAAAUAAGCCUAUGGAACAGAACUGGGGGAACCUAGAAAGACCUGCUCUGGGGAGCCAUUUAUACCUGGCUUUGAAUCUCAGGGCAGUCACUUAUCAGCUGUGUAGCUUUGGGGAAGUUACACAAUCUCUCUGAGCCUUGCUUCCUUCACUUUCAAAAUGGAACUUGUAGCAUCUACCACAAGAAGAGUAUUCUGAGAAUUUAAGAAGCCUAUUUAUACAUGUAUAUCUAAAUGUGGGCAUACAAUGGCAAAUGAGAUGAGAAACAGAAGGAAAGAGAGAAAGGGAGGCUAGCACAUGUUUAUCACAGGUUAA
rnacentral:lncRNA from 1 species